rnacentral:rRNA from 1 species
CCUACGGGUUGCAGCAGUGGGGAAUUUUGCGCAAUGGGGGAAACCCUGACGCAGCAACGCCGCGUGGAGGAUGAAGGUCCUUGGAUUGUAAACUCCUGUCAGCAGGGAAGAAGGCCUUACGGUGAAUAUCCGUAAGGAUUGACGGUACCUGCAGAGGAAGCCCCGGCUAACUCUGUGCCAGCAGCCGCGGUAAUACAGAGGGGGCAAGCGUUAUUCGGAAUUAUUGGGCGUAAAGGGCGCGUAGGCGGCUUCGCAAGUGGUGGGUGAAAUCCCUCGGCUUAACCGAGGAACUGCCCUCCAAACUGCGUUGCUUGAGUCCGGGAGAGGUGAGUGGAAUUCCCAGUGUAGCGGUGAAAUGCGUAGAUAUUGGGAGGAACACCAGUGGCGAAGGCGGCUCACUGGACCGGAACUGACGCUGAGGCGCGAAAGCGUGGGGAGCAAACGGGAUUAGAUACCCCAGUAGUC